UACAGAGGGCCCGAGCGUUAAUCGGAAUCACUGGGCUUAAAGGGUCCGUAGGCGGAUGUGUAAGUACCUUGUGAAAUCCCACGGCUCAACCGUGGAAUUGCAGGGUAUACUGCACGUCUUGAGGCCGGUAGGGGCUGCCGGAACUCUAGGUGUAGCGGUGAAAUGCGUAGAUAUCUAGAGGAAUACCGAUGGUGAAGACAGGCAGCUGGGCCGGUUCUGACGCUGAGGGACGAAAGCGUGGGGAGCAAACGGG
rnacentral:misc_RNA from 1 species